GACAGAGGAUGCAAGCGUUAUCCGGAAUGAUUGGGCGUAAAGCGUCUGUAGGUGGCUUUUUUAAGUCCGCCGUCAAAUCCCAGGGCUCAACCCUGGACAGGCGGUGGAAACUACCAAGCUGGAGUACGGUAGGGGCAGAGGGAAUUUCCGGUGGAGCGGUGAAAUGCGUAGAGAUCGGAAAGAACACCAAUGGCGAAAGCACUUUACUGGGCUAUUACUGACACUGAGAGACGAAAGCUAGGGUAGCAAAUGGG
rnacentral:rRNA from 1 species